UGGAAUCAAAAAAGAUAAAAGACUGAAGGUCGCAAUGAGGAACCGUUUUUGCAAUGGACUCAAAACUUUUUUUUCUAUUAAAACUCCUUAAGAGAAACAAGAAAAUAUGAAUUAUAAAAAUAGGCCCCUGGAACCAUUAUGGAAAACCAAACCAAACCCAAAACCUCUCCCGCCCGUACUGAGAUAUAAGAAGCAGUAAAGUACGAAGAGCUGAAAACUAUGGCAAAUGAAAAAUGAGGAGAAUGAAUAAACCAACAGAUUACAUACGAAAUUUCACUAGCCCAAUACAAGAAGAAAAAAAUUGUCGGUUUACUUCAGAACGCCUGUGAACGAUGCAAAUGAAGCACGGGCAUUAUGCGUUCUUUCAGCUUGCUUUGCUUCCUUCUCAAACAUUUCGAUUCUAAUCCUGCUGGGUCUUUUCUAUUUGGAAAUCAAGUCAAACGCUGACCACUAUGCACACUUAGAUAUGCUGAUGUUGAUAAAGUUCCCUAGCAGAGCGCAGCUUCCUCUUCCCGUGCCUAACCUUCUUGUUCCUAAUCCUCUCCGAUCGGAGCCUACCCGUUUUAUAUUUCUAAGCAAUUAAUUUUUUGGCUGCAGCGCGCGAUCCACAGGUGCGCAUGGCUGACAGCGUGCUGAUAGGCUCCAUCUGUUGGUGGCUGAUAAAGGCCUCCUGGGGUUCCGGGGGCUGUCCUCGCACCCAGGAGAGCCAGCAGUCUAAUCUGCUUGCAGGCAGGCGGAAAAAGUCCCGCAGCUCACGUUAUUCAGCAGGAACAAUUUACCAACAGCAUGUUUAGGGGCGCAGCGGGGAGGCUUUGGGAGGGAGCGGAGUUCCCACCGUGAAUGAUGGCUCCUCCAAAGUCCCUCGGUAUUUUUCCUUUUGGAAAAACAAGGAUUAGACAGGGAGAUGGGAAUUGUGUGUGACAAUCCUAGGCGGAGAAUUUGUAAUUCCUCACUAUCCUUUGGUGUCACACUUUCCAAAAGAAAGAUCAGCAAAGGGGGUACUUACAAUAAUUGUAAUUUAGUUGUGAUGUAUAUAAAUAGUUGGCCUGGUGUCAGAGCCUCUGGAAAGGUUUGGUGGAACCCUUGGAUUCUUCCUGGAAAAUAGAUAGCAGCAGGGUGUUCCGUGAAGGACACCGGAGCGCAAGCGAACCUCCCUUAAACGGAAAGGCCCGAUAGGCAGCAUUUAAAUCUCUAACUGUAGAACAGGUAUUCCGUAGGCUAUGGGCAGGCAGGACAAAGAUUUUCAAAUCAGAAAGAUGUUUAAGAUUCUUAAAUUAUUUAUAAUUGGCAAUACUUCAGAUUUAGGCAAAUGGUCCAUGUUGGCAAUAUUUGGGGACACUGAAGCCUUACAAAGCAAAAUACUGUACCUUUCUUGUCUCAUUAUUUUGUUCCCUCAGACUCCAUACAGGGGUAAUGUAGCCUCAUCUGACUGUACCACCCACCCUCGCCCAAAGAAGGAUUGACAUUGAAGAGGCCAGUUUUUACACUUUAAUGUAUCAUGUUGAAUCGUUUUAAAAGCUGUUUUUGACAUACUAAAUGGAAUUUCCCCCUUUCCUUCCAUUUCUUCUCUGUCUCUUUUCCCCUCCCUCUCUCUCCUCCCUUCACUUUAGCACUUGGUGCAUAUCAAGUCUGCAAUAGGCAGGCACAUGGACCUUUCUGAACCCAUGUUGUGGUAACCGUCAGUCCCUAUGGACACUCAGAUCCCCUAGUGUCCCUGGGACUCACUGACUUGUAUCCGUCCCUUAAUUCUGUGCCUUUUUCUACUUCAGAGCACAAUCUAAACGAAGAUUUGACAAAUGGAGAAGGAAUUUGAAUGCCGAUUUGCUAAUAAUCAUGUAAAAUGACUCCUUGACCUCUUUCACAGCUAAUGGUUAGAAGAUAAAUAUAUUUCCAUAAGUAUUUCUUUUCUGAUUUUACACUCAGGACUAAAUUUAUCUACUCGAAAGAAUCAGAGGUGAUACAAACAGAACAAUUAAGUCUGUGUCUAGCGCCAACACCUCUGGACUUUUAAGUGAUAAAAACAAAUUCAAGAUUCAAUCAGCCAGGUUCAUACUAUGCAGUAGGAUUGGUGGGGGCAGGAUAAGUAUUUUGGGUGACAAGGUACUCGAUAACUAAUUUACAUUUAUAAUGGAUUAUUUUCAUGAUAGACGUCCAUUUUCAUGGUCAUAAUAAUGGACAAGCCUCGGGUGUCUAGAAAUACUGCCUUAUUUUUUUCUCUCUGACUCAACCUGAUUUUUGAUUCACAGUAUCCAAUUCUGCUCUUGGCAGAAAAUAUAAUCUAGUCAUUUUUGAGAUGUUCCUUCUAUCCAGUCCAGCAAUUUCUGUCUGCCCAUCUCUACAUCCUAUUUUGUUCUCUGUUCUACAUUCCAAUCCAAGGUCUAAUAUGCAAUUUCUCAAACACAGUUUGUGAAAGUUCUGCCAUCUCCUCCCUUUUUCCUGGAGGGUAGAGAGAGGGAGCAUCAGGGUUCAGGGGAAAUUUAUGUGUCACUGCAAACACAGUCCAUAGGCACAGGUCUUCCAUGAUGGAUGGUGAUUAUUUUGGCUUGAGACUCUGUCCUGACCUCUUUUGGGAACCUGUGGGAAACCCAAGCUAAUCAGAGGGCAUAACAUUGCCCCAUAAGCCCAUUGCCAACGUCUCUGUGAGAUGCCCACUACCAGAGAAGGUUCUGAACAGACACAAGUUCUCUCAUUCAUUCCCUCAAAUUUUCCCUUCUGCCUCCUGUCCCCACAACAAGGAAGGGAUGGGGUGGAAGAAAGAAAUCCUCCAUAAAAUCUCCUUUCCUUGUUUCUGGUUUUCUAGUCUCAUGCCCAAAGUGUCUCUUUACAAAACUAGAGGGUACAGAGCAGUCUCUGCAUCCUGGGUGUUCUUUGGUUUAGCUGCCAUUGCGGGGAAUGUUCACACAUGGCAGGCAGGAAAAAUGUACCUUCUCAUGCUACCUCAGGAUGUGUAGCUCAGGAUACGUGCUAUUCAGGAUUAAAAUCAUGAGGCCCCACAUUAUAAUAAAAAACAUUAACAUGCAUUCUGGACAAUACACGGACUUUUUAGUGUAAAUUCAAAACACGGAGUAAGAAAUACAAGGACAAUGAAAACACCCAGGCAGAUCUGUUGGGAGAUGUAACUUUAAGGUAGAUUUUUAUAAAAUUGUAAUGGAAACUCAGCAUAUGAGUUGUUAACAUAGCUUUGAACCACAUGCAUUUAUGGUUCGCUCAUACUUGGAAGAAAGCCAGCCUGUUUAGGAUUAUUACCACAUGAUACCAGGACACUGAAAACCUCCUCAUUUUGAAGCAACACUACAGGAAAAGUACUGGAAAAUGGGCUUGAUGUGGUCCCAGUUAGAUAGCACUGCAAAAAAAAAAAAGCUAUCCCAAAGGAGGUGGGAACCUCUGAGGACAUAAAUGAAGGUGAUUUUCUCAGUCUUGAAUAAAUGUCUAAAUCCAAGCUUCAUGUUUGAGAACUUCUGGGGACUGUGGCAUCCCCACUGACUCUGAUUAGGCUAGUGACUGGAAUAAAGCGGGUCGACCUAGAAAAAGGCAGCAGGGCCGCUCCCUCUCCUGCCCGCCUAGUAACCCAGCUCUGGACUGGAGCCACAGAAUCAGAUUGAGGCUUUGAUCUCUCCUGUGCUUUUCCCACACAGCCUUAGAGUUGUAGCUGGGGAAUAGAAUGGGAUGUUAAUAUUUGCAUAAUUUUCUACAGAAUGAAUGUUUUGGAGUAAAUUCUUUCCCUUUUCUACAUUAUGAGAUUCUUUUCUGAAUAUCUAAAACCAUACAAACAGAAAAGGAUUCUCAACAAACACCCUUUGUCUUAAUCAGUUUAGGCUGCAAUAACAAAUUACUAAAGAUGAGGUGGUUUGAACAACAAACAUAUAUUUAUUUCUUACUGUUUUGGAGGCUGGAAGUCCAAGAUCAAAUGCUGGCAGAAUUGGUUCUGGUAAGAACCCACUUCCUGGUUUGCAAAUGCUGUAUCCUCAGAUGGCAGAGAGAACAUGCUCCCUGUAUCUUCUAAGGGCAUUAAUCCCAUUUGUGGGUUCCACCCUCAUGAUCAAUCACAAAUCAAGGCCCCACCUCCUAAAACCAUCACACUGGGAAUCAGCUUUCAACGUACUACACAUUUUAAUAAGGACAUCAACACUCAACUGCCAAUCUUUUAACAUCUCUGAACUUCAUCUUCCUCAUCUGUCCAGUGAAACCUGUACUUUCUGAGAUUUCACUCUGAAGUGUAAUUUUGCUUAGCUAUGGGAAGAAUCAUAGAUUCCAAGAUUAAAAGAAAUCAGUGUGACAGCAAUUAUUUACAGUUCAUAACAGUCAAGUGCAAGUUGACUCAAUGCUGCCCCCAAGUGUCAUUUCAGAAACAUGGCUCAGAAGGAAAAAAGCUAAAACAAAGAGCCACACAGCAUCAGAGAAGGAAGGCGUUAUCAAAAUGCGCAAAGCUGUUGUCAGAGAGCAAGGUCACCCAGCUGUGAUGUGGCCGAGCUGGGACCCUCUCCCGUCUCACUGACGGGAAGACCUGAGGUGCCUUAGGGCCACAGGACACCAGGAAGGGAGCCUUCCCGCACGGAGAGACGGCCCCACAGGGUUUUCCAGUGGGGAUCGAGGUAGCUCUUUGGGCCCACAGGAAACUCAGAAAGCUUGGGAAGUUGGGCAGGGGGAUGGGCCAAAUAAGUGAAGGACAUAAAGAGGUACAAGCUUCGAAGUGUAAAAUAAGCCACAGGGAUGAAAUGUAAAUCACAGGGAAUAUAGUGUAAAUACCUUUGUGUGGUGAGAGUUAGUAACUACACUUAACCAUGGUGAGCAUUUUGAAAUGUAUACAAUUUGAACCACUAUAUUGUACCCCUGAAACUAAUAUAUUGUGUAUCAACUAUACUUCAAUUUAAAAAGAAAAGGAAAGGAAAUAUUGUAAGCUUUGCAAAAAUGAAGUGAGGAGUCUGGGAGGCACCAAAUCUCACAGUGAAGCCGUGGCGGCUGCGGGACUAUCGGGUUCACUCAGGGACGUGAGGGGGUUAAUCAGUCAGACCUGUGAGCCGAGAUUUGAAUCCCAGCUCAAUCACUUAAUCUAUGGUUUAGGAAAACUUUUUAAACCAGUUUCCUCUUCUGCCCAGUAAGGACAGAAUAACAACCAAUUGAUACGAUGUAUCAGGCAUGUAUGAACAGUGUCUGGUCCUCCUGAGGCAGCCCACAUGUCAGUUCCCUUCCUCCUCAUGGACCCAAUGGUUCAAGGCCAGACAAAGAUGUGAUUUCAGAACAUGCAGUCUCUGUAAGGAGAAAUUAAUAACCCGUCCAGGCUACUGGGGAUGCCCCAAUUGUAUAGGUUAAGCAGUGUAUACUCUCAAACAAUAACCUAGAAUGUGUUAGUUUCCUUCCAUAAAGGUUCCUGGUCUGACCCCUAUGCACCUGCAAAUGUAUCAAGAAAAACAGAGAUAACCAUAAAAUAUAAAAAAAAAAACCACUAGCAUCUUUCUAGAUCAGAUUUAUAGCUAAUAUUUAUGAGCACUUUCAACCAUUCAUUUCCACAUGCAAAAUUAGGUCCUAUCUUGGGAAACAAUAUUUUGUCCUGCUCUGCUCCAAUAUUUACUAAAAUUCUAUGGACAUGACAAGGUGUCACAUAUCACUGGGCCUCAUUCUGUAUUGUGGCAAGGUCCCUCCUUUGGAAAGAAUAUUGUCAGUGCCAUACAAUUUAAGCACUUUAAAAUUACUCUUGCUGACUUGAAAUAGUUAAUUUGCUUUGCUAAGUACCAAACUUAGCAGCAAGCUAUGAG